rnacentral:lncRNA from 1 species
CGCCUUCCUGGCUAGUAUCCUUUUCCUACAUUUUUUACAUUUGGAAGCUCUUUGCAGUGGCUGUGUGAUCCACCUGCCUCCUGGAGAGGUGGCGUUCUCCUGCGGGAGCUGCUGGCUUCCUCCCCGGAAGGUUGACCCUCAGCUGCCUGGGAGAACCUGUGCUCUGUGACAGCCGCGCCUUCCUAAGCGGGUGAGUGGCGUGAUGCGAUGCGAUGGGGAGCUUCGGGAUUCUGCUUUCAGGGGCCUGGGUGCUGGGACUUCAGUGGUCAGGUGGAUGGCAGGGA